rnacentral:rRNA from 1 species
UACGGAGAGGGCUAGCGUUGUUCGGAAUUACUGGGCGUAAAGCGCACGUAGGCGGCUUUGUAAGUUAGAGGUGAAAGCCCGGGGCUCAACCCCGGAAUUGCCUUUAAGACUGCAUCGCUAGAAUUGUGGAGAGGUAAGUGGAAUUCCGAGUGUAGAGGUGAAAUUCGUAGAUAUUCGGAAGAACACCAGUGGCGAAGGCGACUUACUGGACACAUAUUGACGCUGAGGUGCGAAAGCGUGGGGAGCAAACAGG